AACGCACCUUGCGCUCCUUGGUAUUCCGAGGAGCAUGCCUGUUUGAGUGUCUUGAAGUCAUCGGCCCACCCCGCUUUCGCAGCGGGGGACGGCCGGACGUGGGGGCCCGUGCGGACGCGAGUCCGCUCCCCUCAAAUGCUUCGGUUGGGCCUGUGGGUCGGACUUGACUUGGGCGUUGUAACCAUCCUCGCUCCACGCGUCGAAGCCUUCCCCGUCCCGGAAACGGGAGCCCUCCCACGACUGCCGGCUGGAGCGGCAGUCAGUCGUCUUUGAAAUCUGACCUCAAAUCAGGUAGGACUACCCGCUGAACUUAA
rnacentral:misc_RNA from 1 species